CUAGUAUCGCGAGAUCAGGAAGGUGGCCGAGUGUGUCGCCGCGGCCAUCAGGCACUUCUCCUUCCUGCCCUUGUAUGAAGAAGGAUGUGUUUGCUUCCCCUUGUGCCAUGAUUGUAAAUUUCCUGAGGCCUCCUCAGCCCUGCAGAACUGGCUAGAGCAAUGUAUCUUAGGCUCACUUAAGGAAGCUGUAGAGAUGAGCCCAAGGAGGGAAACCAGAAGAGCCCCCCAGGCUCACCAGUUGUUUGUUGGCUCCCUACAAACAUGUCAUUCAAGUGGCUAAUCUUACAACAGCACAAAUUCAUCUAACCAGAAAGAGAAGAGGAGGCUCCAAAGGCACUUGACUACUGAGCAUCACCCUGGACGUGUACAAGUCUGCGUCCUUAUUGUUUUCUUCAUUGGGCCGAACUUUCUGGUCCUCAUCCAACAGCUCUUCUAUCACGUGUUCGAAAGUGUCAGCCAAUGAUGUCAAGCCUCUUGAACCUGCCUUGGGCCCAUUCACGCUCUCCAGAGUCCCAUGGGUCCGCACACCUGGAGAUACUCUAUUAUAGCAAAGAAGAAAGAUAAUUUCAUUGAGCCAUCCUGUUUUACAGGAAAUUCUGCAAGUGGCAACGUGGGUCCAUUCCGUGUGUGUCACUAGAGCUGGCGCAAGCCCAUGGCCAUGGUGAGGCAGCGUUUCCACUGGAACUAAUCUGAUACCUGCACCAGCUCUUGCAACUGUGCAGUGUUCCCACUGCAAACUACGGAUGGGGUAAAAGACUGCUCACCUCCUAUUUCUCAUCUAAUCUCACACACUCUGUUUGAUGAGGCUAUGGAGAAACAGGUCUUCUCAUACACUAAAGGUGGGAGUACAAACAAUUCAAGCCCUGUGCAGGACAAUUAGGCAAUACCUAUCAAAAUUAUACAUGAUUUUUCCUGCUGACCCAGCAAUUCCACUUCUGGGAAUAAUUGACAGAUAUAGGUGCAUAUGUACAAAAUGAUGGAAAGCUCUCUGGUAUAUAUUAGUAAGUGAUAAAACAAGGUGUAAAAUAGUGUAUAUAUGGCUACUACCUUUUGUUUUAAAAAUGGGGGAAAAUGGUGGAGCUUGCGGUGAGCCGAGAUCGUGCCACUGCACUCCAGCCUGGGCGACAGAGCGAGACUCCGUCUCAAAAAAAAAACAGGGUGGGGUGGGGGGGAAAUAAUAGUACAUACUCAUAUUUACCUGUAUCUAUAUAAAACACACUAUCAAGGAUUCACAAGAAACUAAUACAAAUGAUCACCUUAUAGAUGGUAUGUAUUGGGGGAUACUGAGGUGAGCAGGGUAUAAGUGGGGCAAGACUUUUCAGUGUAAACUUCUUUUAAAUUUUAUUUUGAUUUUUGAAUAAUGUAAAUUAACUGUCAAAUAAUUAAAUUAAAAAUAACCAAUUUAUUAACAAAA
rnacentral:lncRNA from 1 species